rnacentral:rRNA from 1 species
AUUGAACGCUGGCGGCAUGCCUAACACAUGCAAGUCGAACGGCAGCACGGCAGUAGCAAUACUGUGGGUGGCGAGUGGCGGACGGGUGAGGAAUACGUCGGAAUCUGCCCAGUCGUGGGGGAUAACUAGCCGAAAGGUUAGCUAAUACCGCAUACGACCGAGAGGUGAAGGCGGGGGACCGCAAGGCCUCGCGCGAUUGGAUGAGCCGACGUCGGAUUAGCUAGUUGGUGGGUUAAGGCCCACCAAGGCGACGAUCCGUAGCUGGUCUGAGAGGAUGAUCAGCCACACUGGAACUGAGACACGGUCCAGACUCCUACGGGAGGCAGCAGUGGGGAAUAUUGGACAAUGGGACGCAAGCCUGAUCCAGCAAUGCCGCGUGUGUGAAGAAGGCCUUCGGGUUGUAAGUCGACGUUUAUCUAAGAACGAAAAGACGUGGUAG